rnacentral:rRNA from 1 species
UUGGAGGGCAAGUCUGGUGCCAGCAGCCGCGGUAAUUCCAGCUCCAAUAGCGUAUAUUAAAGUUGUUGCAGUUAAAAAGCUCGUAGUCGAAUUUCGGGAUCAAAUUGUCGGUCGUGCCUCGGUACGCACUGGUAUUAUUGGUUCCUACCUUCUGAAGAACCGCGAUGUCAUUAAUUUGGUGUCGUGGGGAAUCAGGACUGUUACUUUGAAAAAAUUAGAGUGUUUAAAGCAGGCUUACGCUUGAAUACAUUAGCAUGGAAUAAUGAAAUAGGACGUUUGAUUCUAUUUUGUUGGUUUCUAGGAUAGACGUAAUGAUUAAUAGGGAUGGUUGGGGGCAUUAGUAUUCAAUUGUCAGAGGUGAAAUUCUUGGAUUUAUUGAAGACUAACUACUGCGAAAGCAUUUGCCAAGGAUGUUUUCAUUAAUCAAGAACGAAAGUUAGGGGAUCGAAGACGAUCAGAUACCGUCGUAGUCUUAACCAUAAACUAUGCCGACUAGGGAUCGGAUGAUGUUAAUUUUUUAAUGACUCAUUCGGCGCCUUACGGGAAACCAAAGUGUUUGGGUUC